rnacentral:ncRNA from 2 species
CGAACGUUGUAGAUAUACCUUCAUAUAUCCUUAGGAAUAGGCCUAAGAGUUUCUACCAAGUCACCGUAAAUGACUUGACUAUGAAGGCGGGAACUUUUCUU